UACGGGGGGGGCAAGCGUUGUUCGGAAUUACUGGGCGUAAAGGGCUCGUAGGUGGCCAACUAAGUCGGACGUGAAAUCCCUCAGCUUAACUGGGGAACUGCGUCCGAUACUGGAUGGCUUGAGUUUGGGAGAGGGAUGCGGAAUUCCAGGUGUAGCGGUGAAAUGCGCAGAUAUCGGGAAGAACACCCGUGGCGAAGGCGGCUCUCUGGGACGGUACUGACGCUGAGACGCGAAAGCGUGGGGAGCGAACAGG
rnacentral:rRNA from 1 species